CGAGCUCUGCCGCUGAGCCGUGCGUGCGCGACACGUACCUCAUGCAGUCCCAAAGCCUGCCAGCAGAGGGACACCUUUUAGGUGGUGAAGACGGACGGGUCUUACCGUUUGAAGAUGCCCAAGUGAAGAAUGUGUAUGGUCGAGAGGUACCAUCGCCUAUUGUCGCCAUCGUCGUAAUGCCACUUGACACUCAGCAGCUGCACCGCAGUACCCGGGAGGAAGAGCCCUAGCGUGAAACCGGCCCACCGUGUCUCGUCAUUCCAAAGAGAGCAGUCAGACGGCACUGCCCUCCACCUGUCUCCAUGUCUUACCUGCCCUAGUCAUUAACAGGGUCCUGGAGCCCCACUGUAAGUGCACAUGUCAACAGCCAAAUUACAGGGCACACCUUGCCCACACAUAUUUGUUUUGCUUUUAAAAGGGUAAUAUCCGUCUGCACGCAAAAGCUUUACACUCACUCUGCUCACUGCCCGGUCCACCUUUUUUUUUUUUUAAACCCUCCACAAAGUGAGGUUCAAAGAUCGAGGGGAAAAGGGAUGAUGACAUCAGGGGGUCUUCUUUUGUACUCUUAGCUUACGUUACAAAGCCCAAAGACAGUGUUUUGCUCCUCGCUGCUGUAUAAAAUGACAUUUGGAUGAAAGCUUCAUUCAAUAAUUUUCAAUAUGAACAUUUUUUUCUUCUCUGAUCAGCUGCUGGAACAGAUCAUAAUCUUUUAUUUUUCUCAUGGGGUUGCUCGUCGGGUCAAUUUUGAACAAGGGCAUUCUGUAUGUUAUAAAUCGUCAGACUCCAAAAACAAUGGUCCUAUAUUGAUUAAAGAAUAAUAAUUUUAGACAUCUCCUAAGGGUGCUGGUCACCUCGGCUAAAAACAGGCUGCAUCUUUAGCCAGGCAGACA